rnacentral:snRNA from 1 species
GUGCUCGUUUCGGCAGCACAUAUACUAAAA